UAUAACUUUAGUAACACUUUACAAUAAGAUUUCAUUUAUAAACAUUAUGUUAACAUGAACAAUAUUUAUAUAGCAUUCAUUCAUGUCAGUUAAUAUUCCAAACUUAAACAUUAAAACAUUGUUUUAUUGUGAUUUUUUUCCAAGAACAUUUUACCAAUUCCAAACCAUAUCAAUCUUAAUAACUACCAUUAUUUUUAUUUAAUCAUUUAUAAGUGCUAUACAAUAGUCCAGGAAAGCUGGAAGAGAAAAACACUUUAUAUUCAUGUGUGUAGAAUUAUUAGGCAUGUUUUCUUUUGCAGAUGGAAUGCGCUAAAAAAGAGUUUUAACUCAAACUGUAAAGUCGAAAAUUAUGAAAUACCCAUGAGAAAUAUCAAACACAAAUGCAAUACAGAAAUGGAUAAGUUAAGACUUGACCAUUGUACAAAAAAUGCUGACUGGGUCAUGAGGUCAGAAAAGAAGAAGAAAAAAACAGGUCAAGAAGAACUGACAAAAAGAAUUGCAAAAUAAUUAGGAAUUAAUGUGAAGAUUAAUUUUUAGUCAAUUCUGCAAGACAGACUUUCAGGAAAGGAGGUGGAAUAAAAAUGAGCUCCUAAAUCUUAAUCCUGGAUUCUGGAAGAUAUAUUCCUCAAACCAUCGAACAAGAGGAGGUGGUGCUGGUCCUUCACGAGUCACUCUAAUCAGUUCAUAAAGCCUAUAUAUAAAGCCUUAAUAUAUAGUAUUUCACAAUACUUCAUGGUAUUCUAAUUAAAUCAUUUUUUGGAAUCUUAGAUCUCUCAGAACCUGACACCGAGUAAUUCUGAGACUCCAGGAAAGUGGCAGUUCUGUAAAAUGUUGGCGCUGGAGACUAAAUGCUCCCUGAUAGUUUCACACCUAAUUCACUUAACACACACACAAACACACACACAAACACACACACAUUACCCACUGUGACAGAGGGACAGAGUGACAUCAGAUGUAUGAUAGUUUUUUAAUUUUCUAUCAUCCAUAUAGUGUUGUAUAGUCAUGAAACUAUGCAUAUUUCCUCAGAAUGACUUGUCUUCUAUGUGUACAUUUUUUUGAAGUGUUUAGAAGCUGCACUUUAAAAAAAUAAAAGACAUUUACUGGUUACUUUUUUACUGUUAUUUAAAAAAAUCACCACGACAAAACCAUUCAAGCUAUCCAAAAUUAAUUUGCAUCUGUUCUGUAAGAUAAAUUCUUUAAACAGUGGUAAAAGAGGAUGUGGUGCUGAUUCUUCAAGAGUCACUCAAAACGUGUCUGUCCAUAAAGCCUAUAAAGAAUUAUUCUUAAUAUACAGUUCACAAUAUUUCAGCUUGUUAUUCUAAUUA